AAUCCAGACUCCUACGGGAGGCAGCAGUGGGGAAUAUUGCACAAUGGGGGAAACCCUGAUGCAGCGACGCCGCGUGAGUGAAGAAGUCUUUCGGUAUGUAAAGCUCUAUCAGCAGGGAAGAAGAAAGACGGUACCUGACUAAGAAGCCCCGGCUAACUACGUGCCAGCAGCCGCGGUAAUACGUAGGGGGCAAGCGUUAUCCGGAUUUACUGGGUGUAAAGGGAGCGUAGGUGGCAUGGCAAGCCAGAAGUGAAAACCCGGGGCUUAACCCCGCGGAUUGCUUUUGGAACUGUCAGGCUGGAGUGCAGGAGGGGCAGGCGGAAUUCCCGGUGUAGCGGUGAAAUGCGUAGAGAUCGGGAGGAACACCAGUGGCGAAGGCGGCCUACUGGGCUUUAACUGACGCUGAGGCACGAAAGCGUGGGUAGCAAACAGGAUUAGAUACCCUAGUA
rnacentral:rRNA from 1 species